rnacentral:lncRNA from 1 species
AAACCACUCCCUGGGUCCCAGCCAGCGGCCGGCCCAGGGCGGUCCCGCCGCCCCGCGUCUCACGCGCAGUUGCCCAUGGCCUUGACCAGGGAGCUCUCGGGCAGCUGGCGGAAGAUGCCCCGCAGCGUGUCCAGUUCGCGGCUCAGUUGUUCCACCCGCUUGCGCAGGCGGUCAUUGUCACUGGUCAGCUCCAGCACCUUCUGCUGUGUCUCCACGUUGCGCUGCUUGGCCUUGUCCCGGCUCUUGCGCACCGCGAUGUUGUUGCGCUCGCGCCGCACCCGGUACUCGUUGCUGUUCUUGUCCACCGACUUCUUGACUUUGCCCGCGCCGCCCCCGCCGCCGCCCGCGCGGAGGUCGGGGUGCGCGGCCGCCAGCCCCUUGAGCGCGCCGCCGGGGCCUGGCAAGCCAGCGGCACCGAGAGCGGGUGCUGGGUGAGGGCUGGGCACGGGCGUGGGCGGCGGCGUGGGGUGGCCGGGCUGCAGGUGCAUGGUGGUCUGGCCGCAGUGCGCGAUCUGGAACUGCAGGUGAGGGGCGGCCAGGUGCGCGGGCGGUGGGUGCGGGUGCGGCGGCGGCGGCGGCGGCGGCGGCUGGUAGGGGAAGAGGCCGGCCAGCGCCAGCUGCUUCGCCUCGUCCUCCUCGCGCGGCUCCUGCUUGAUCAC